GGGGUCGUAGUUCAGUUGGUUAGAACGCCGGCCUGUCACGCCGGAGGUCGCGAGUUCGAGUCUCGUCAGCCCCGCCA
rnacentral:tRNA from 1 species